GACGAACGCUGGCGGCGUGCUUAACACAUGCAAGUCGAACGGAAAGGCCCUGCUUUUGUGGGGUGCUCGAGUGGCGAACGGGUGAGUAACACGUGAGUAACCUGCCCUUGACUUUGGGAUAACUUCAGGAAACUGGGGCUAAUACCGGAUAGGAGCUCCUGCUGCAUGGUGGGGGUUGGAAAGUUUCGGCGGUUGGGGAUGGACUCGCGGCUUAUCAGCUUGAUGGUGGGGUAGUGGCUUACCAAGGCUUUGACGGGUAGCCGGCCUGAGAGGGUGACCGGCCACAUUGGGACUGAGAUACGGCCCAGACUCCUACGGGAGGCAGCAGUGGGGAAUAUUGCACAAUGGGCGGAAGCCUGAUGCAGCAACGCCGCGUGCGGGAUGACGGCCUUCGGGUUGUAAACCGCUUUCGCCUGUGACGAAGCGUGAGUGACGGUAAUGGGUAAAGAAGCACCGGCUAACUACGU
rnacentral:rRNA from 1 species